rnacentral:rRNA from 1 species
AUAGAACGCUGGCGGCAGGCCUAACACAUGCAAGUCGAACGGUAACAGGAAACAGCUUGCUGUUUCGCUGACGAGUGGCGGACGGGUGAGUAAUGUCUGGGAAACUGCCUGAUGGAGGGGGAUAACUACUGGAAACGGUAGCUAAUACCGCAUAACGUCGCAAGACCAAAGAGGGGGACCUUCGGGCCUCUUGCCAUCGGAUGUGCCCAAAUGGGAUUAGCUUGUUGGUGGGGUAACGGCUCACCAAGGCGACGAUCCCUAGCUGGUCUGAGAGGAUGACCAGCCACACUGGAACUGAGACACGGUCCAGACUCCUACGGGAGGCAGCAGUGGGGAAUAUUGCACAAUGGGCGCAAGCCUGAUGCAGCCAUGCCGCGUGUAUGAAGAAGGCCUUCGGGUUGUAAAGCACUUUCAGCGGGGAGGAAGGGAGUAAAGUUAAUACCUUUACUCAUUGACGUUACCCGCAGAAGAAGCACCGGCUAACUCCGUGCCAGCAGCCGCCGUAA